AUUGAACGCUGGCGGCAGGCCUAACACAUGCAAGUCGAACGAGUGGCGGACGGGUGAUUAAUGUCUGGGAAACUGCCUUAUGGAGGGGAAUAACUACUGGAAACUGUAGCUAAUACCGCAUACCAUCAGAUGUGCCCAGAUGGGAUUAGCUAGUUGGUGGGGUAACGCCUCACCAAGGCGACUAUACCUAGCUGGUCUGAGAGGAUGACCAGCCACACUGGAACUGAGACACGGUCCAGACUCCUAGGGGAGGCAGCAGUGGGGAAUAUUGAACAAUGGGCGCAAGCCUGAUGAAGCCAUGCCGCGUGUAUGAAGAAGGCCUGCGGGUUGUAAAGUACUUUCAGCGAGGAGGCGUUACCCGCAGAAGAAGCAGCGGCUAACUCAGUGCCAGCAGCCGCGGUAAUAC
rnacentral:rRNA from 1 species